rnacentral:rRNA from 1 species
GCAGCCUGAUCAGCCAUACCGCGUGGGUGAAGAAGGCCUUCGGGUUGUAAAGCCCUUUUGUUGGGAAAGAAAUCCAGCUGGCUAAUACCCGGUUGGGAUGACGGUACCCAAAGAAUAAGCACCGGCUAACUUCGUGCCAGCAGCCGCGAUAAUA